GCGGCUUGACGGAGGCGACACGGAAGGGGUUCCAGCGGUUGAGUUUGAAGAAGAUGAAGGGCUUCGCGUUUUUAGACGGAAGAAGAAUGAUUUCUCCUUUUCUGAUUGAGAGAGGGAAGGGUUUUGUGGGGGAUUUCUGUUGAGAGAGUGUGAGGUGAGCGAAUUUUUUGGUAGGUGUCUGAGCGUGAGGGAGCUGGGUGAUUCAAAUAGGGAUUCUCCUUUUUCUUUUUUUUUCUUUUCUUUCGUACAGUAGAGAGAGAGGAGAGGGUUAGUGGGGAGUGAGUGGAGCAGACAGAAAUUGUAGUGGAGAGAGACGUUAGGAUAAGAGAGAUUUUUU
rnacentral:lncRNA from 1 species